rnacentral:lncRNA from 1 species
AUGUAGACUUGUAGGCUCGGCUAUAGGCUAGUCCGAUCUGACCUCGAAGACAUUUUAUGGAUGUUUUCAAUCGAGUCUUGUAUCUUGAUCCAACAUUAGGCUGCAUUUGGUAUAGAUCAAGCAUGCCAAGCUAUUCUUCUUACUUGACAUGAUCCAACCCUAGCCUGACCCAGCUGCAUCUUACUUGACAUAGUCCUAAUACGAACAAAAAAAGCCCAUCCUUGUGGGACUUGGGCGAACCAGUCCUUGGCCACAUAUUGACACAAUAGACUCUGAAAACU